UUGGGUCAUUAUCCUGUUGGAGGACCCAUGACCUGCGACUGAGACCAAGCUUUCUGACACUGGGCAGCACAUUUCGCUCCAGAAUGCCUUGAUGGUCUUGAGAUUUCAUUGUACUCUGCACAGAUUCAAGACACCCUGUGCCAGAUGCAGCAAAGCAGCCCCUGAACAUAACCGAGCUUCCUCCAUGUUUCACAGCAAAGAAGCGAAAAUGUGCGGAGCGGUUUGGAAAUGUAUAAAAAUGGAUCUUACCCUUGUAUUUUUAUUCAUUUUUUUAAGUGUUCUUUGCGGUUCAUUUUGAUAAGCUUGUAAUCCCUGUAGUGCCAUGGUUGUUUAUCUGCUAUUUACAUUAAAAGUCCCCUAGUUCCUUA